rnacentral:rRNA from 1 species
CCCUUAGAUGUUCUGGGCUGCACGCGUGCUACACUGAUAUUGCCAAUAUGUCAUUCUUAUCCGAAAUGGAUUGGGUAAUCAAGUAAUGAAAUUUCAUGCUUGGAAUCGGUAAUUGCAAUUUUAUCGUGAACGAGGAAUUCCUAGUAAGCACUAGUCAUCAGCUAAUGUUGAUUAUGUCCCUGCCCUUUGUACACACCGCCCGUCGCUACUACUGAUUGGGUGUUCAAGUGAGAUGCUUAGACCCUUGUUGCAUGGUUCAUUAUUGUGCUCCGAAAGGAAAAGGUUUCAAGCUUGAGUGUCUAGAGGAAGUAAAAGUCGUAACA